rnacentral:rRNA from 1 species
UGGCGGGUGCCUAUACUGCAAGUCGAGCGCAGGAAGCUCACGGAACUCUUCGGAGGGAAGUGAAGGGAAUGAGCGGCGGACGGGUGAGUAACACGUAAGGAACCUGCCCCAAGGAUUGGGAUAACUCCGAGAAAUCGGAGCUAAUACCGAAUAGUUCUUCAGACCGCAUGGUCUGAUGAUGAAAGGCGCUCCGGCGUCACCUUGGGAUGGCCUUGCGGUGCAUUAGCUAGUUGGUGGGGUAAUGGCCCACCAAGGCGACGAUGCAUAGCCGACCUGAGAGGGUGAUCGGCCACACUGGGACUGAGACACGGCCCAGACUCCUACGGGAGGCAGCAGUAGGGAAUCUUCCACAAUGGACGAAAGUCUGAUGGAGCAACGCCGCGUGAGUGAUGAAGGUUUUCGGAUCGUAAAACUCUGUUGUAAGGGAAGAACAAGUACGAGAGGUAAUGCUCGUACCUUGACGGUACCUUGCGAGAAAGCCACGGCUAACUACGUGCCAGCAGCCGCGGUAAUACGUAGGUGGCAAGCGUUGUCCGGAAUUAUUGGGCGUAAAGCGCGCGCAGGCGGCCUUUUAAGUCUGAUGUGAAAGCCCCCGGCUCAACCGGGGAGGGUCAUUGGAAACUGGAAGGCUUGAGUACAGAAGAGAAGAGUGGAAUUCCAUGUGUAGCGUGAAAUG